rnacentral:rRNA from 1 species
AGUGAACGCUGGCGGUAGGCCUAACACAUGCAAGUCGAACGGCAGCACAGUAAGAGCUUGCUCUUACGGGUGGCGAGUGGCGGACGGGUGAGGAAUACAUCGUAAUCUACUUUUUCGGGGGGGAUAACGUAGGGAAACUUACGCUAAUACCGCAUACGACCUACGGGUGAAAGCAUGGGAUCUUCGGACCUUGCGCGAUUGAAUGAGCCGAUGUCGGAUUAGCUAGUUGGCGGGGUAAAGGCCCACCAAGGCGACGAUCCGUAGCUGGUCUGAGAGGAUGAUAAGCCACACUGGAACUGAGACACGGUCCAGACUCCUACGGGAGGCAGCAGUGGGGAAUAUUGGACAAUGGGCGCAAGCCUGAUCCAGCCAUACCGCGUGGGUGAAGAAGGCCUUCGGGUUGUAAAGCCCUUUUGUUGGGAAAGAAAGGCAGCAGGUUAAUACCCAGCUGUUCUGACGGUACCCAAAGAAUAAGCACCGGCUAACUUCGUG